AAUUAUAUUCAUUGUAAUAUUACAGAUUUUAUCAGGUUCAUUUUGCUUGCAGAUGGUCAGAAUAUCAGGACAAUUCUGACUGGCAACAGCGAAUGUAACUAUCUGUGUUACUCUACUGCAGUGACUUCUUUGGGGGGAAUACUGUGGCAUAAGAGGUAGGAAAAGUCUGUGAGUAGACACUGUGGGUGUUUGUGAGUGGCUGGUUAUUUGUCUUAACUUCUUGUCCUACUUGUGGGUGACUGCUGCCCUUCUAGAAGAAGGUGCCUUGCUCCUGAAGAUACUUUUGAGGGGGUGGGUUGUUUAUUUUUCUUUCCUGUGGCUGAGGAUUCUAAGGCAUAAAACAAUGAUGUAGCUGCUGCAGUUAUUAAGGAUCGUGUGUAUGGAGGGAUGGGUUGGUUUUUGUUUCUUUGCACGUCAACUCAUUAACAUCUGGCAAAUUCUAAUAUCAUGCUGAACUGAUGUGCCCUGCUGCUUCAAUUACAAAUGUGUAGUUUCUAAGCUGUUUUAUAUUAUCGGCCCCUUCUUGAGUUCACAAAUUUUCACAUCCUGUUACCAGACACUUCCUGAAGCAAAUACUGCGGUGACUUGCACAAAUAAUAAAAGACGUAUCUGCUUUAGGAAUCUGAAAAGAAAUUGAUCUGCUGGGAACAGUAUCACAGCUGCAAAGUUUUGAUGUCUGCAGGAGGAGAACAAUUGCAUCAGUGUGCACCGUCAGCCAGGACUUGUGACUGCUGGGGGGUUGCUAGGAUACCUCUCUAAAAGAAAUUCCGUAAGACAAGAAAUCAAGAAUAAAAUACAGUGAUGAGGAAGAAGCCAGUGACUAGAACUUG